rnacentral:rRNA from 1 species
UGCGGAAGGAUCAUUACCCA